rnacentral:rRNA from 1 species
GACGAACGCUGGCGGCGUGCUUAACACAUGCAAGUCGAACGGGAAGAAAAGAAAGAGCUUGCUCUUUCUUGGAUUCUAGUGGCAAACGGGUGAGUAACACGUAAACAACCUGCCUUCAGGAUGGGGACAACAGACGGAAACGACUGCUAAUACCGAAUACCUUCCAAUUUCCGCAUGGAGAUAGGAAGAAAGGGUGGCCUCUACUUGUAAGCUAUCGCCUGAAGAGGGGUUUGCGUCUGAUUAGCUAGUUGGUGAGGUAACGGCCCACCAAGGCGACGAUCAGUAGCCGGUCUGAGAGGAUGAACGGCCACACUGGAACUGAGACACGGUCCAG